UACGUAGGGUCCGAGCGUUGUCCGGAAUUAUUGGGCGUAAAGGGCUCGUAGGCGGUUCGUCACGUCGGGAGUGAAAACUCGGGGCUUAACCCCGAGCCUGCUUCCGAUACGGGCAGACUAGAGGUAGGCAGGGGAGAGCGGAACUCCUGGUGUAGCGGUGGAAUGCGCAGAUAUCAGGAAGAACACCGGUGGCGAAGGCGGCUCUCUGGGCCUUACCUGACGCUGAGGAGCGAAAACGUGGGUAGCGAACAGG
rnacentral:rRNA from 1 species